rnacentral:lncRNA from 1 species
AGUGCUGGGAAACAGUGCUAUGAAGGAUACUGUGGCUAGAAGUCGUCCUGUCGUCCUGCCUCACAGUAACAUCGUUACCGAAUUCUCAGCAGGUGAACCAAAUGAAAUGGUCAACUGAAAGCCAACCAGGAGGGUGUCUGGCUGUUUUGGGGAAACUAUUCCUGACCUUAUUUUGACUAAAAAGUUGCCUGCCGUACCAGCAAAAAAUCACCAUGUACCAACCUAUCCAAACUUAUCCAUGGAUGAAUCUAUCCAGAAGACGGGAGUUCCGAUGCUUGUCUUGCUCUGAAUGUCUGCUUGUCACCUGCUUAGGGUUAUCGACUGUGAUUCUGGGACUCAUUGUUGUUCUACAGGACCCCUCUGACUCUGUGGUUUUCUCUACUGGAUUAACAAUGAUAGCCAUAGGUGCUUUUUUUGUUGUCCUCACUGGAGUGACAGCCCUGUGUACGGUUACAGUCGACGAGAACUUGCAGAAAACCACGAGGCUAAGACUAGGAGUGAUACGAAAAAGCGGAAGUCUCCAAGGAACUACAGAGCCUUCCAUGACUCACUCAAUAAUCGCUAGCACCUCGCUGUAGCUGUACAUUGAACCCUGGCAUCUUCGUCUGUGGAACUACGUCUCCUGAGCAUUGUUUUUAAAUAGAAAUAAAAUCUGGCUUUUAAAAAAAC